ensembl:lincRNA 4921515E04Rik RIKEN cDNA 4921515E04 gene
AGGGAAAGUCACAAAGCAAUAUGGAGUCAAGCCUAUGAUUUAAAUGGACAGCCAGAAAUUUGGAAGGAACAAGAUUUAACAUUUGAUGGGGAAGACUUUUAGAGACAAGGUAGACAAAGAUGAACAAAAUACAAAUUUGCCAUCUCCAAUGCAAGGCACCGUCACUAAUAAAUAUCUUUGCUGAAAAAUAAAUGCAGAAUGGAAGACAGGAAAAGAAAAUUUGCAGGGUCCCCAAUGGACGAGUUAGCAAAAGGACUGAAGAAGCUGAAGGGGUUUGCAACCCUAUAGGAAGAACAACAAUAUGAACCAACCAGAUCCCCCAGAACGCCCAGGGACUAAGCCAUCAACAAAGACAUUUCUAUUCUAUUGGAUAAUGUAUAUAGGACACACAUGCCGUGUAAGAAUAACUUCCUUUAAACUUCAAGGAGAGAGUUUGCUCUGGUAAAGAAAUCAUACUUGUAACAUUGUAGCAAAGAUCUACAUAUAUGCCUACAUGACUGAAAAUUCUUCCCUACCUUCCCAGGAUUUCUAGUUAUCCCCUAGGGGAGACAUAUAUAAGGUGACAAGGAAGUUAUAAUGAUACUUCUGAAACAAUUUGUGAUAGUGGUAACUUUCAGAGGACUGCUAAGACAGUAAAUGAAUGAAGGUAUGAUUUUGUGACUCAGAAAUGAAGUUUCUCAAGGUUCUAGAAAGCUACAAAGAUGUCUGGCAUAUCCAGCAACUGCAUCAUCUUAUAAUUACUCCUGGUACAAGAUUGUACCCAUUGAUAUCAUGGAAAUAUUUAUGUAGAACCUAAAC